AUUAGAUACCCCACUAUGNNUCCACCAGAAGAUUACGAGCGGCCUAAAACUCAAAAGACUUGACGGUGCCCCAACCUACCUAGAGGAGCCUGUUACAUAAUCGAUAACCCACGAUUAACCCAACCACCCAUUGACAGCCUAUAUACCGCCGUCGCCAGCCUGCCUCCCAAGAGAAACUAAAGCAGGCUAAAUAGUGCUAAAAAGUCAGGUCAAGGUGUAGCUAAUGGGGUGGAGCCAAUGGGCUACAUUUUCUAAAAUAGAACACGAACUAGUGAAAUUACUAUAAAGGCGGAUUUAGCAGUAAGCCAAAUAAGAAUAUUCGACUUAACAUAGCUCUGGGACACGUACACACCGCCCGUCACCCU
rnacentral:rRNA from 1 species